CCGUAGCCUAAUCACACCUUCCGCGCACCUGCAUUUGGGGAAUACCUGACGUCACACCGUUGUCAUACACGGAGGAACGCUGUGUGAUCAACAUGAUUGAAUGGUAUUUGGUUAAAUACGAUAGUGGAACUCUGCGUGUACUGCUGAAGUUGAAAGCAAAAGCACCUCGGGUGGCCAUUGAAGCUGAGCUCGGCAGACGAGUGCAUCUUUAUUUCUUUCUUGAGGCAGUUUGAUAGACGAUGCGCCUUCACUGUACCGAGCGACAAAACUUCUUCACAGAACACCUACCACUUUGACUUCAUCUUGUGAUGGAGUGACCUAGUGAUAAUGUGGACGCAUUCAUGGCGCUGCCAUGCUACACCUUCACACAUAACUCCUAUAUCCCUUCCCGCGCAAUUCCCUACUAUCUGCAACAUGGUAAAUGCUAGUUAGCGGUGCUGAGCUGCAGCUGCGGAGGAAAUUAAAUAACCGAAGCUCGAAGG